UAAUUAGCUGCGGCAGCUUACACAUGCAGUCGAACGGUAGCAGGAGAAAGCUUGCUUUCUUGCUGACGAGUGGCGGACGGGUGAGUAAUGCUUGGGAAUCUGGCUUAUGGAGGGGGAUAACUACUGGAAACGGUAGCUAAUACCGCGUAACAUCUUCGGAUUAAAGGGUGGGAUCUUCGGACCACUCGCCAUAAGAUGAGCCCAAGUGGGAUUAGGUAGUUGGUGGGGUAAAGGCCUACCAAGCCGACGAUCUCUAGCGGGUCUGAGAGGAUGGCCAGCCACACUGGAACUGAGACACGGUCCAGACUCCUACGGGAGGCAGCAGUGGGGAAUAUUGCACAAUGGGGGGAACCCUGAUGCAGCCAUGCCACGUGAAUGAAGAAGGCCUUCGGGUUGUAAAGUUCUUUCGGUGAUGAGGAAGGCAGAUAAGUUAAUAGCUUGUUUGAUUGACGUUAGUCACAGAAGAAGCACCGGCUAACUCCGUGCCAGCAGCCGCGGUAAU
rnacentral:rRNA from 1 species